rnacentral:ncRNA from 1 species
CUAGUUGCUUUCUAUAGAUUAAUUAACUCUCCAGUUAAAAAUCCAAGAUCAAAUUAUUCGGGGGACCCCGCCCCCCCUUCGGGGGGGCGGGGGCCCUAUUUACAUUUUAAUUUAUUACCUGUAGUUUCAUCAUGUAAUUUAAUCCAAUCAAGGAAUUAUUCUAGUGUGCUACACAGGAAAAUCCCCACACACACUUCGUGUGUGUGGGCCGGUUUAAAUCCUUCAUUUAUAACUGGGUUCUCGGAUGCUGAAGGUUCUUUUGUUGUAACUAUUUUAAAGAACCCUAGAUAUAAAAUAGGAUGAAAUGUACAAGCUAGAUUUCAAAUAAAAUUAAACGAGAAAGAUAGAGCUUUAUUAUUAUUAAUUCAAAAUUAUUUCGAUAAUAUUGGAUAUAUAUCCAAAAUAAAUGAUAGAUCUACGGUUGAAUUUAGAGUUAGUGAUAUAACUAGUUUAAAUAAUAUAAUUAUACCUCAUUUUGAAAAGUAUCAAUUAAUAACUAAUAAAUAUGGAGAUUUGGUGAUAUUUAAACAAAUUGUAUCAUUAAUGUUAGAAAACAAACAUACUACUUUAGAAGGAUUAAAAGAAAUCUUGGAACAUAGAGCAUCUCUUAAUUGAGGUUUAUCUAAAACUUUAAAGGAAUCUUUUCCUUCUAUAAUACCAGUUAAAAGGGUAAAAAUUGAGAAUAAUAUAUUAAGUAAUUUAUCUUCGCUACCCCUCCUUCCAAGAGGGGGGAACUGAGUAGCUGGCUUCUCAUCAGGAGAAGCCAAUUUUUUUAUAACUAUGUCUGGUACUAAAGUAUGGUUACGUUUUUCUAUAGCUCAAGAUUCAAGAGAUAUAUUGUUAUUAAAAAGUUUAGUCAAAUUUUUUAAUUGUGGUUAUAUAGCUCAAUAUAAAAAUCGUAAAGUAUGUGAAUUUAUAGUUACAAAAAUUAAUGAUAUAAUUAUAUAUAUUAUUCCUUUUUUUGAUCAAUACAAAAUUGAAGGUUCUAAAUAUAAUGAUUAUGUUAAAUUUAAAGAAGCCGCUAUUCUUAUUAAAAAUAAAGAACAUUUAACUGAAAAAGGAUUAAAUAAAAUAAUAGAAUUAAAAAAUUCGCUACCCCCUCCAGCUUCGCUGGAGGGGGGGAUGAAUAAAAAUAUUUAAAUUUGUCUUGAUUAAAAGGAGAAAAUUAUCUUGAUCACAAAAGGCGAAAGUGAACCUUCGCCUAGUCUUAUAUAAGGCGAAACUCUCAAAUUGCGGGGAACUCUUAAGAACAAAUCUACCAAGUUAAUAUAGUAAUAUAAUUAAUGGAACAGGUAAUGACUCGUUGUAUGGUAAAAACGAUUUGUAUAUGUAGAAUAUCCGCAGCCAAGCACCAAGUAUUCGCUACCCCCUCCAGCUUCGCCUNAAGGAAUAACGGUGUGCAGUUCAUCGACUAAAUGUGAGUUGGGUUUUUAUUAAUAUGAAAGGAUAUUAAUAAUUAGCUUAAGAUAUAGUCAGGCUCAAUACAUGAGUAUUGGGGUAAACCGAAGAGGAAGUAUCACAAUA